rnacentral:rRNA from 1 species
UACGGAGGGGGCUAGCGUUGUUCGGAAUUACUGGGCGUAAAGCGCACGUAGGCGGCUUUGCAAGUUAGAGGUGAAAGCCCGGGGCUCAACUCCGGAACUGCCUUUAAAACUGCAUCGCUAGAAUUGUGGAGAGGUAAGUGGAAUUCCGAGUGUAGAGGUGAAAUUCGUAGAUAUUCGGAAGAACACCAGUGGCGAAGGCGACUUACUGGACACAUAUUGACGCUGAGGUGCGAAAGCGUGGGGAGCAAACAGG